AUGCUAGCGGUGCGCCUACACAUGCAAGUCGAGCGGUAGUAUUUUCUAGCUUGCUAGAGAAUAUGAGAGCGGCGAACGGGUGAGUAACACGUUGAUAUCUGCCCAUAGGUCAGGGAUAGCCCAGGGAAACCUGGAUUAAUACCGGAUAGUCUCUUCGGAGUAAAAAUUUAUUGCCUAUGGAGGAGUCUGCGGUCUAUCAGCUUGUUGGUGAGGUAAUAGCUCACCAAGGCUAUGACGGAUACCUGGUCUGAGAGGAUGAUCAGGCACAAUGGAACUGAGACACGGUCCAUACUCCUACGGGAGGCAGCAGUGAGGAAUCUUCCACAAUGGACGAAAGUCUGAUGGAGCGACACCGCGUGAAGGAUGAAGGUCUAACGAUUGUAAACUUCUUUUCUGAGGGAGCAUAAUGAGAGUACCUCAGGAAUAAGGGACGGCUAAAUACGUGCCAGCAGCCGCGGUAAUACGUAUGUCCCAAGCGUUACCCGGAAUCACUGGGUGUAAAGGGUUCGUAGGCGGCUUAGAAAGUUGGAUAUUAAAGACCGGAGCUCAACUCCGUGUUUGUGUUCAAAACUGCUAAGCUAGAAUUAGGGAGAGGUAAGCGGAAUUCUGAGUGUAGGGGUGCAAUCCGUAGAUACUCAGAGGAACACCAAAAGCGAAGGCAGCUUACUGGAACUAUAUUGACGCUGAGGAACGAAAGCGUGGGUAGCGAAAAGGAUUAGAUACCCUUGUAGUCCACGCCCUAAACGAUGAUAACUAAGUGUUGCUCCUAGAGGGCAGUGCUGAAGCUAACGCGAUAAGUUAUCCACCUGAGGAGUACGGUCGCAAGAUUAAAACUCAAAGGAAUAGACGGGGACCCACACAAGCGGUGGAGCAUGUGGUUUAAUUCGAUGCAACGCGAAGAACCUUACCUGGGCUUGACAUCCUGGGAAUCCUGUAGAGAUACGGGAGUGCCCUUCGGGGAACUCAGUGACAGGGGCUGCAUGGCUGUCGUCAGCUCGUGUCGUGAGAUGUUGGGUUAAGUCCCGCAACGAGCGCAACCCCUAUCUUUAGUUACUAACAUUAAGUUGAGGACUCUAGAGAGACUGCCAGGGUAAUAACCUGGAGGAAGGUGGGGACGACGUCAAGUCAUCAUGGUCCUUAUGUCCAGGGCUACACACGUGCUACAAUGGCCGGUACAGAGGGCAGCAACGCCGCGAGGUUGAGCGAAUCCCAGAAAGCCGGUCUCAGUUCGGAUUGGAGUCUGCAACUCGACUCCAUGAAGUUGGAAUCGCUAGUAAUCGCGUAUCAGAACGACGCGGUGAAUACGUUCCCGGGCCUUGUACACACCGCCCGUCAAGUCAGCCGAGUUGAUUGCACCCGAAGAAGGUGAGCUAACCGCAAGGAGGCAGCUUUCGAAGGUGUU
rnacentral:rRNA from 1 species